UAGAGUUUGAUCAUGGCUCAGAUUGAACGCUGGCGGCAGGCCUAACACAUGCAAGUCGAGCGGUAGAGAGAAGCUUGCUUCUCUUGAGAGCGGCGGACGGGUGAGUAAUGCCUAGGAAUCUGCCUGGUAGUGGGGGAUAACGUUCGGAAACGAACGCUAAUACCGCAUACGUCCUACGGGAGAAAGCAGGGGACCUUCGGGCCUUGCGCUAUCAGAUGAGCCUAGGUCGGAUUAGCUAGUUGGUGAGGUAAUGGCUCACCAAGGCGACGAUCCGUAACUGGUCUGAGAGGAUGAUCAGUCACACUGGAACUGAGACACGGUCCAGACUCCUACGGGAGGCAGCAGUGGGGAAUAUUGGACAAUGGGCGAAAGCCUGAUCCAGCCAUCCCGCGCCCGUGAAGAACGUGUCCGGGUCGCAGAUCCAGUAAACGGAACAUCCUCGCAGACCAGUAACACGAUCAUCGUCCGACGUAGC
rnacentral:rRNA from 1 species